GGCAAGAUGGCCGAGUGGUUAAAGGCGUUGGUUGUGCUUAAGACGCAAUCUCGAAAGAGUUCGUGGUCGAACCCCACUCUUGCCC